AUAUGCCAUGCGUCUACGAAAAUGUACUGCAUGUCAAGCGAAGCUUGGAGGGUUUAGGAAGAUUGUUCUUUAAGUGGAUAUCAAGCCAGUGGUCCAAGCAAUUUAUUCUGAGAAUAUUCACAAUUUGCUCAAGAGACAAUGAGAAAUUUGAAUUUGUCAUAAAUUCCGAGAGGGAAAUAGAGUCGUAAAUUUCAUGGUCAAUGAAGAUUUUAGGAUUUUUGAUAAUUUUCUAACUUUUAAUUCUCCUAUAGCUAGACUUAGAGUUUUAUUAUUUUAUGAUGUAAUUGGUGUAUGUUUUCUCGUUUGGUUAGACAG
rnacentral:lncRNA from 1 species